rnacentral:rRNA from 1 species
CCCUUAGAUGUUCUGGGCCGCACACGCGCUACACUGAAGGAGGCAGCGUGUACUCCUGGAUCGAAAGAUUUGGGUAACCCGCGAAUCUCCUUCGUGCUAGGGAUUGAGGUUUGCAAUUAUCCUUCAUGAACGAGGAAUUCCCAGUAAGUGCAAGUCAUAAGCUUGCGCUGACUACGUCCCUGCCCUUUGUACACACCGCCCGUCGCUACUACCGAUUGAAUGAUUUAGUGAGGACUUCGGACUGGGACCGAUGCGGCUUUCGGGCUGCGUCGGUAUUCUGGAAAGAUGUCCAAUCUGUAUCAUUUAGAGGAAGUAAAAGUCGUAACA